ensembl:snoRNA SNORD42 Small nucleolar RNA SNORD42
GUGCGAAUGAUGGAAAACAUAUUAAUGCUGAAAAUAUUGAUGUUUCCAAAGGAACCACUGAUGCAU